UAUUCGUCAGCGGGGAGCUUCCGGGUGGCGGGGCAGCGACCAGGUUCCCUCUGACUGCGCCACACCAUGCCCUUCAGCCUCUUCCGGCGCCUUCUCCUUGCCGCCCUGCUGCUGGUGAUUGUCUGGACCCUCUUUGGGCCCUCGGGCCUCUGGGAGGAGCUGCUGAGCCUCUCGCUAGCCUCCCUGCUCCCAGCACCAGCCUCGCCAGGGCCGCCCCUGGACCUGCCCCGUCUCUUGAUACCCAACGAGGACGCCUGUGGUGGCCCCGGCGCCCCUCCCUUCCUGCUCAUCCUGGUGUGCACGGCCCCGGAGAACCUGAACCAAAGAAAUGCCAUUCGGGUCUCGUGGGGCGGGCAGCGCCAGGCCCAUGGGCUUAGGGUGCAGACUCUCUUUCUUUUGGGCGAGCCAAGCGGGCAGCACCCUGAAAACGACCUGGCACAGGAGGCAGCGGCCCAGGGGGACAUAUUGCAGGCGGCUUUCCAGGACUCCUACCGCAACCUUACUCUCAAGACGCUCAGUGGGCUGAACUGGGCGGAAAAACACUGCCCCAAGGCCCGCUACAUCCUCAAGACUGACGAUGAUGUGUUUGUCAACGUCCCAGAACUGGUAUCAGAGCUAGUCCGGCGAGGGGGCCGUUGGGAGCAAUGGGAGAGGGGCAUGGAGCCCCAGAGAGAGGCUGAGGCUGGAGAUGAAGAGUGGGAAGGAGACAGCCCCACCUUGGAGAGUCAGCCCAUGCCUCUUUUGUACCUGGGCCGUGUGCACUGGCGGGUGAACCCCUCUCGGACACCAGGGGGCAAGCACCAAAUAUCAGAGGAGCAGUGGCCUCCCACCUGGGGCCCUUUUCCACCCUAUGCCUCAGGCACAGGGUAUGUGCUAUCAGCCUCUGCUGUGCAGCUCAUCCUUAAAGUGGCUAGCGGGGUACCCCCUCUGCCACUGGAAGAUGUCUUUGUGGGGGUAAGUGCCCGACGAGGAGGUCUCACCCCAACCCACUGUGUCAAGCUGGCUGGUGCCACCCACUACCCCUUGGACCGGUGCUGCUAUGGGAAAUUCCUGCUGACAUCCCAUAGAUUGGACCCCUGGCAGAUGCAGAAAGCCUGGAAGCUGGUGGGCGGCCCUGAUGGGGAAAGGACUGCACCCUUCUGCUCGUGGCUCCAGGGAGUCCUGGGCAUCCUGCGGUGUCGGGUAAUAGCCUGGCUUCACAGCUGAGGAUCUGGGCCACCGGAGGCGUGAGGAGCCGGGGUCCAGCAAACACCCCCACAACCUUUCUCCCAGGCCCAAGGCAACUGGCUGUAACUGAACAGUUCCCUCAUACCAGAUGCUCAGUCACUGAAGACUGAAGGAUACCUAGGACCCGGCCGGCCAGCCCCAAAGAUGGUCGUGAGGAAAGUAAAACAAUGCUGGGGUCAUCCUCCUGAUCCAUGAUGAGGAAACUGAAGCUCACAGGAAGGAAAGCCGGGUGAGAGGUAGAGUUGGAAUUCAAGGCAGGCCUAUUUCUUCAGCAUCUGCUCUCUUACCGACUCAAGACAUGAACCAAAGGGAAAGCGCACAUGACAGGUGUACCUAAAUGUGACGUCCCACUGCACAGGCAGCACGGCGGCUUGGCAAAGGGAAGGAUCAGGAAGGGUCAACUGCAAUGAUCAGGGAGGACUUCCUGAGAAAACUGGGAUAUGAGCCAUUCUCGGUAAUCCUCAAGAAAGCAGAAGAAGAAGUACAGCAGGUACAAAUGAAUGAUCAGUGAAGAGAUGGAGAAGCGGAGGCGGAGGUGUGUUUUCAGGACUGGAGAUUCCAGGAACAUCUGGAGGGGACAAGUUGCAGGGACUCUUUCAAGUCAGACUAAGGCCCUAACCCCCAGACAUGCCCUCUGGCAAUAACAAGCCACUGCAUGGACCUGAGAAAACCUUAGGAGGUAACACGUCAUGUGCCAGAGGGCCCUACCCCAGCCCCUUUCCCUGGAGGGCCAGGCUGCUGAUCAGAUCCUCUCAAGGAAUCGGGCAGUGCACAACUUGUUUCUUCCCAGAGGUUGGAGUUUCUGCCUGUGUUCAAGUUGUUCCUCAGAGAGGGAGGCUGAGGAGGAACCAGCCACACCAGGAGGAAGGGGCAGAAGAGUUCCUAAGAGCAAAGAUGCCCUAUGAUGGGGCCAAACAGAGGCCCACCUGGAUACUUCUCCUGACAAGACCAUCAGGGCCCCAGGUCCACCCAAAGGAAAGGCUGUCGGUGCAAACCAGGAAUUACUGAGGGCUCCUGGGACACAGGGCUACACCCCUCAGUGAACCAACAACUCUGGCUCCUCACCCACUGUGCAAAUAGCAGCCCACUGGCCAGAUGGGCACCCAGGCCACACUACCAUGUUACUAAACUUGUAGGAACAGUUCAGCUUGGAGAAUAUAAUCCUAAUGCAAGCUUCCAGAAAGCCUCUCAAGGAAGUUGGUAAGGCUCAUCUCUGGAGCCCCUGUGGCUUGUCUGAGGCUCUUUGGGUGGACCAGAGAUAAGUGGAGUUGGGCCUAAGAUCAAAGACCAGAGCUGUUCAGCAUCUAAGUGUUGAGCAUACCUCAGUGAGUGAGCUGAUUAAGCCCUGAGAACAGGAGCAGCUGACCCAGGCAGCCCCAGAAGGCAGAAAGCCUCAGGGCAGGCCUCUGCACUCUCCUACAGCCAAGCUGGCAGGGCUAGGGAGCCAAAAGGGUGGAACCAAAUCACUUGACCGCAAAGACACAACUCUGGGAGUCUAAGGGGUCUGAAUCUCUGGAAGGCUUUCAUAAGCUGGUGGCCACUGCACUUUUCCUUUUCCAGAUUUCCUUUAAAACAAUUUAAAAAUAAAGUUAUAUAGUUUAUAUUUAGUGUAGAAGAUUCCUGAGCAGCAGUGUCAAUGGAAGAAAGCAGCUUGUGGGAAAGAUUAUUCUGACACCCGUGGGACAAGGCAGGAGGAAACACUGGAGGCUGGAAACUGGCUACAAGCACCACACAAGCCUAAGCAAGCCCACCGAGACAGCAGGAUCAGAGAGAAGCAGACCUGGAGGGACCUUUGAGGGGAAAGGCAGUCCAGACUUCACAGGGGAUCAUGACUAGCAGAGCCUGGGCACCCAGAAAGCACUCGGGAAACAGUGCUUUUGAUUCCUGCUUUUCCCAUUGCUAAGAAACAUGGGCUGUGUAGCUAGCUAAAGUGUCCAAGAAGUUAAAUGGUGCAUGACAGGAUAAUGUGGCAGAAAAGGAGCAGGCAAGGAGGAACCCUGGGAGUGGGUGUCCCAUCCAGUGAUGGACACAUCAAUUCUGGCGUGACAGAAAACAACUGAAUAGCAACUAAAUGUCCCACCUAGCCCAUCAUUCCAGUAAAGAAAAUGUAACUGGAUCACUGCACCAGGGCAGCCUCAAUGGCUGAUUCAUCCUUAUACCCCAGAACCUUAGCACAGAGCCCAGCACGCAGCAGGUGCCCAAAUGAAGGCCUGAUGAAUGAAAGGAAUUAGAGGAAAUACACAGGAAUUUGUGUGAAAAGCUGUCUACCAGAUCCAGACAUAUAUACAGUCAGAAAGGAUAGCUAUGAAAUGCAAAUACUCUCUCAGGAAGAACAGAAAUGCAAAGCAGACCCACCACCCUACCCCUGACACCACUAGCCAGACCCAAAGAGAACGACUGUCUCUAACCGUGACAAUGAAGCACAGCGCUCCCUGUUCCCGGGGCACCAUGCUAAACUCUAUGUGCCUUAAGUCAUUUUACUGUCUACAACAGUUUAAGCCAGGCCUUGGCAAACAAAUCCAACCCGCCACCCAUUUCUGCACCGCCCACAGCUAAGAAUGACUUUUACAUUAAGUGGUUGGGGAAAAGUCAAAAGAAGAAUAUUUCCAUAUGAGAAAAUCAUAUGAAAUUGUAUCUACAAAUAAAGUUUUAUUAGAACACAACCACAUUCAUUCAUCUACUGCUUUUGUACUACAUUAGCACAGUAGAGGGAUCAAGAGAGACACUAUGUCAUUGGAUCACUUCACACUGCUGCUGGAGUCACAGUGACAUGGUUAUAACUUGACAGCACUUUGAGCACCUCCCAGACACCUAUCUCAUUACCUGCCUGUGUGGAAGAUGUUUUCAAAGGUAAAAUAUGCCAAGUCUCUCUAUAGAUCAGUAUUAACACAUAAACAUUUGCAGUAGAGUUGGAUGACUUGGAACACUAACUUUGAAUAUCAGUUAAGUAAAAUAUCCUCAAAAAGAGGAAUCCAACUGUUCCCAUUAGUAGACCUGUAUUUGAAAAAUAUUGUAUUCAAUUAUUACAUCUUGAAUUUCAUUGCUUAAGUUUGUGAUAUUGCCCUGGCCGGUAUGGCUCAGCAGACCAAAGAGUCUCGGUCCACAGACCAAAGAGUCACAGGUUUGGU